CUGGUGAAAUCUAUAAUGCAAACAGCAAAAGGUGAAAAUGGAAAUUUAUGAUAAUAUGUUCAAUUUUUAUAAAUAUAAGUCAGCAACCCAACAAAUAAUACAGUCCCAACACAUUAAUUUUUAGUUUGUCUACAAACAAUUUUGCACGCAUAUUUAGCAAUAAUAAGCAAUUGAUUUACGAUCAAGACAAAUAUUGCAGUUAUAUAAAUAAUUAUUCGAUGAUUGCAAAAGGUGAAAAUGGAAAUUUAUGAUAAUAUGUUCAAUUUUUAUAAAUAUAAGUCAGCAACCCAACAAAUGAUUGCAGUUAUAUAAAUAAUUAUUCGAUGAUUUAUUCGAUAAUUAUUCGAUGAUUGCCAAGAAAUAUAACAAAAAAGUUUGUUUUGGUCAACUUCAUUGGCCCUUCCAUUAUUCAGGGUACACCUGUACAAGCCUAUGGUACAAGUCACCAUUAUUCACAAAAUUUACAGAAUUUACAAACGGGUCCUCCAUCUUCCCAUAUUUCCCAUUUCAAGGACAAAACCCAAUACCAAAUUCACCCCAAAUCCGGAUCCGGAGGCCCGAUCGGCCGAUCCGACUCACUUCCGCGGCUCAACCAACGCGAGUAGACUCCGAAACUCUCCACCACGCGUUCCGACUCACCGAGUCAACUCGUUGACUACCUGAAUUUACAAUCCUGCCCCUCUGCGGCAGUCGGGAUUCCGGCGAUCAGCUCUGGCCCCAGCAGUUCAGGUACAUAACUUGCCGCAGGGAAUCGUCGGCCUGCCCCCUCCUCUCGUCGCCGCCGGAGGCGGCGGCAACAAACCCUUCCAUAUCGGUGUUGAGCGCGCCGGUGAAGGGGCGGAGAUCGGCGGCGUCGCGGCCGGCGGAGAAGAAGCGCUUCUUGCCGUGGUUGAGGGAGGUGAGGCCGGAUUUCAGCUUCUGCCCUUGGUCGGAGUGGCCGUUGACGACGGCGACGCUGGCGGCCAUCCACACUCUGUUGAUGUAACUCAUCUUCUUUCACUAAUUUAACUGUUAGAAUCAGAUUUCUGGUUUUCCCCAAAUCAAUUUUGCACGAAGGUGUUUGUGUUUAGUGGGAUUUGGAAGUGAAACGGGGGCAGUGUAUUUAUAGAAGGGUCAGGGGUGAUUUGGUAAAUUCAAUACAGCCAUUCUCUUAUCCAUACACGUU
rnacentral:lncRNA from 1 species